CUUGUUAUAAGAAUGACCAAUAGACAAAUUACUAUUAUCACCCUUGUAGGUGUGACCCAUUGAUAUGGUAUUCUCAUCUCCUUUAUUAUAGAUGUGCCCCAUUGAUAUGGUAUUGUCAUCCCCCUUGUUGUAGGUUUGACCCAUAGAUAUGAUAUUGUUGUCUCCUUUGCUGAAUGUGUGACCCAUUGAAAUCGUAUUGUCACCCCCCUUAUCGUAGGUAUGACCCAUGGACAUUAUACUGUUAUCAGCCUUGUUGAACGUUUGACCCAUUGAUAUGGUAUUAUCAUCCCCCUUGUAUGUUUGACCCAUAGAUAUGAC
rnacentral:lncRNA from 1 species